rnacentral:rRNA from 1 species
UAGGGAAUCUUCGGCAAUGGACGGAAGUCUGACCGAGCAACGCCGCGUGAGUGAAGAAGGUUUUCGGAUCGUAAAGCUCUGUUGUAAGAGAAGAACGAGUGUGAGAGUGGAAAGUUCACACUGUGACGGUAACUUACCAGAAAGGGACGGCUAACUACGUGCCAGCAGCCGCGGUAAUACGUAGGUCCCGAGCGUUGUCCGGAUUUAUUGGGCGUAAAGCGAGCGCAGGCGGUUAGAUAAGUCUGAAGUUAAAGGCUGUGGCUUAACCAUAGUACGCUUUGGAAACUGUUUAACUUGAGUGCAAGAGGGGAGAGUGGAAUUCCAUGUGUAGCGGUGAAAUGCGUAGAUAUAUGGAGGAACACCGGUGGCGAAAGCGGCUCUCUGGCUUGUAACUGACGCUGAGGCUCGAAAGCGUGGGGAGCAAACAGGAUUAGAUACCCUGGUAGUCCACGCCGUANACGAUGAGUGCUAGGUGUUAGACCCUUUCCGGGGUUUAGUGCCGCAGCUAACGCAUUAAGCACUCCGCCUGGGGAGUACGACCGCAAGGUU